CGGUGGCGCAAUUGGAUAGCGCAACAGAUUCCGAAUCUGUAGGUUGUGGGUUCAAGUCCCGUCCGGC
rnacentral:tRNA from 1 species